rnacentral:tmRNA from 1 species
GGGGGCGAACAGGGUUCGACAUUUGUACUGGACUCCAAAGCGCAUGCCAAGAUUGUAGUAAUUCUUGUAAAACAUACUACAAAAAAUUUAGUUGCAGAAAACGACAACUACGCUUUAGCUGCUUAAGCUAACCGAUGCAAGAAUUGACUAUGGUUUGAAGCAUCGGCAAAUAACAUAGUCUAGCCAAGUUACAUUGCUUGGUUGUAACUUGGUUAAAAUUAAUCAAGAUCGCAUUUAUGCCCUGCUCUUCGGGUGAUAAAUGUUAAAAAUAAUAGAAUGAGCUAAGCAUGUAGAAGUUAGGCUGAAGGACAUUUGGACGCGGGUUCAAUUCCCGCCGCCUCCACCA